rnacentral:rRNA from 1 species
CCCUUAGAUGUUCUGGGCUGCACGCGCGCUACACUGAUGCAUCCAACAAGUUUUCUCCCUUGUUCGGUAGGACUGGGUAAUCUUUUGAGUAUGCAUCGUGAUGGGGAUAGAUUAUUGCAAUUAUUAAUCUUCAACGAGGAAUUCCUAGUAGACGUAGUUCAUCAGACUGCAUCGAUUACGUCCCUGCCCUUUGUACACACCGCCCGUCGCUCCUACCGAUUGGAUGAUCCGGUGAGCUAUUCGGACCUUCGCUUCGUCGAUUUUCGGCUUUGUGAGGGAAAGUCUCGCGAACCUUAUCAUCUAGAGGAAGGAGAAGUCGUAACA